GUAAGCCCGGUGCCAGCGGCCGAGGUAAUACAGGGGGUGCAAGGGUUAAUCGGAAUGACGGGGCGUAAAGCGCGCGUAGGUGGUUCAGUAAGUUGGAAGUGAAAUCCCCGGGCUCAACCUGGGAACUGCUUUCAAAACUGCUGAGCUAGAGUACGGUAGAGGGUGGUGGAAUUUCCUGUGUAGCGGUGAAAUGCGUAGAUAUAGGAAGGAACACCAGUGGCGAAGGCGACCACCUGGACUGAUACUGACACUGAGGUGCGAAAGCGUGGGGAGCAAACAGGAUUAGAUACCCUUGUAGUC
rnacentral:rRNA from 1 species